rnacentral:rRNA from 1 species
CAGGCCUAACACAUGCAAGUCGAACGAACCCUUCGGGGUUAGUGGCGCACGGGUGCGUAACGCGUGGGAAUCUGCCCUUUGCUUCGGAAUAACAGUUAGAAAUGACUGCUAAUACCGGAUGAUGUCUUCGGACCAAAGAUUUAUCGGCAAGGGAUGAGCCCGCGUAGGAUUAGGUAGUUGGUGGGGUAAAGGCCUACCAAGCCGACGAUCCUUAGCUGGUCUGAGAGGAUGAUCAGCCACACUGGGACUGAGACACGGCCCAGACUCCUACGGGAGGCAGCAGUGGGGAAUAUUGGACAAUGGGCGCAAGCCUGAUCCAGCAAUGCCGCGUGAGUGAUGAAGGCCUUCGGGUCGUAAAGCUCUUUUACCAGGGAUGAUAAUGACAGUACCUGGAGAAUAGCUCC